rnacentral:sRNA from 1 species
GCCAGGUGCAAUGGCCCACACCUGUAAUCCCAGCAACUCAGGAGGCUGAGGUAGGAGGAUUCCAAGUUCAAGGCCAGCCUGGGCAAUUUAGCAGGACCCUGUCUCAA